CCAAUGUCACCAAACCCGAUGAAUCAGUUUCCUUCACCAUCACCACCACCACCGUAUCCAAACCACCAGUAGUCUAUGUAACUGCUGACGGUCCAUGUGAGUGUGAACGUUCGACAAUGAUUCAACUCAUAUUUUUGGUGCGAUGUGCAAAAUUCAACCGAUACGUUGUCACUAAAUAAAAGUUAUAAAAUUUGAA